AGCAGCCGCGGUAAUUCCAGCUCCAAUAGCGUAUAUUAAAGUUGUUGCAGUUAAAAAGCUCGUAGUUGAAUUUCGGGGUUAGUAGGUUGGUCAUGCCUCUGGUAUGUACUGGUCUCACUGAUUCCUCCUUCCUGAUGAACCUUAAUGCCAUUAAUUUGGUGUUUUGGGGAAUUUGGACUGUUACUUUGAAAAAUUAGAGUGUUUAAAGCAAGCUAACGCUUGAAUACAUUAGCAUGGAAUAAUGAAAUAGGACGUUCGAUCCUAUUUUGUUGGUUUCUAGGAUUGACGUAAUGAUUAAUAGGGAUAGUUGGGGGCAUUAGUAUUCAAUUGUCAGAGGUGAAAUUCUUGGAUUUAUUGAAGACUAACUACUGCGAAAGCAUUUGCCAAGGAUGUUUUCAUUAAUCAAGAACGAAAGUUAGGGGAUCGAAGACGAUCAGAUACCGUCGUAGUCUUAACCAUAAACUAUGCCGACUAGGGAUCGGAUGAUGUUUAAUUUUUAAUGACUCAUUCGGCGCCUUAC
rnacentral:rRNA from 1 species